UGCCAGGACGGGGGACCCAAAUUUCUAGUCCUGACAAUACAAACCCACCUUUUGGGGGUUCUUGUCUCUCCAUGUGGAUUUCCUCCAAGCCAAUAGCGUUUUCCACCUCUUUUGGUGCAGUGGCCAUGUCAGCUCCUGCUGGGGUCCACUGUCACUGCUGGGCAAAGCUGGGAUUUACCUGUGAAACUUCUGGAGAGUCACAAAGCCAUCUGAACAAUCAGCCAGCAAAGCAGCAACCUGCGCUGGAGUGGGAAUAUUCAGAUAUGCUCAAACACAACGUUGUUCUGGGCAGCUCCUGGGAGAUGUCCCUUCCCAUAGUGGUUCUGGUGAAAAAUACAUAGAAACUUCGCAAGGUAGGUUAGUCAAACUGACAGAGAUCAGUCAUCACAUUGCAGUGACCAUUUUUAUGGAAAAUCCAGGCCCUGCCUUAGGGAAGACAGAAGACCUGCUCACACAAGAGAGCGUGUGACAACUUCCCCAGCCCAGAGGGGUGCUGGACUUGGCCCAGGCAGCAUUCCUGGCCACCCAGCAGCGAUUGGGGAGGCUGCAGGAGGGUGAGAUCUUGAGAGAGUUUACAACUGAGCACAUCUGAUUAAAGAUGCAAAAUCCCAGCUGUGAUAGAGGGCAGCACAAACAUGGAAAACACAAAGUUACAGCACUCCCAGGCUGGACACCAUAAAAGCAUUAUACUGAGAUACAGUCAUAGGAGGCCAUUAAGGGCUAAUGGUAGAUUAGCUUGUCGGGUCACACACCUUGCUGUUAUGGAUUGUUACAGUCAGCAUCCAAGAGGAUGCAUAGGAUGUUGCUUACCACUGUUUCUCAGCAGUGGCCUCAGAGACAGCAAUACAGUGCCACGAGCUGAACAUGCUGGCCACCAGCUAUGGACCGUUUCCAAGUGGAACCAGCUCAAGAGCAACCAAACAGGAUUCCUGGGAAAGCCCGCCAGAAGAGGUAAAGUUUUACUGUGUCAAUGAAUCAAGAAGAGCUUUGCAAUAUCAAAAUCUGGGGGCCUGUUUUUCUCCUUUUCUGUUCCUUUAUGAUGAAGGACCUGCAAACAGGUUCUGUCCUAAACUGCCAGGUCACAGCUGUGCGUGGUACAACAGCUGCGUCUGGUAAAACAGCUGCUCUCCUCUGAACCCUGUGGUGGGUGCAGCCCAGGGUGCUGGCAGGCCAGGCUGGGACAUGCCCAGGACAAGGAUCGAGCCCUACACCCUUUCCCACCCCAAUGUGAAAGCCUGACGCUGGGUUACUCUGCUAAUUUUUGCUGAAAAAUGCUGGAGCUUUUCAGUGGUGCUCACUGUCUCUUGGCCACGUGUUGCCAUGUUAGGAGGUACUGCAGCUCUUCCAGAAAAGGUGAUGAAACCCUGAUCCCUGGCAUUGCUGUGCAGGACCCCUGGUAAAGCUCAUGUGCUCAAGCAGAAGAGUGCAAUGCCACCCCUAGCACUUCACAGAAACCAAGACACCACCCAGAGGCAUCAGGAUAGCAGAUAACAUCUAUGAGAGAUCCACACUGCUCUCAAAUAGCAGCAGGUGAAGCCCUAGCAUCUUAAAUAACAUCAGAAAUCUGUGCAGGCAGCUGCAUCCCCCUCCCUCCAGGGUACUGUGGCAGCUGGAGCAAAACUCAUCAUCCAUAAGCAGACAAGAAGCCACUGUUCAGGUAAGUCCUUAGCAUUGUACGCUCUGCUCUAGGCUUUACAUCCAAAAGGCAGAGAUUUAGAUGCAACACUUCAGUAAAUCAAGCGGUUCCUACCGAACCCACAGUUUGCUCAUUUGCAGCCCUGUUUGCCCUAAUGGAGCAGCUAGUUUCCAUCACACCUCCUUGGAGAGUCACAGAUUUCCCACUAUUUGAUUCUCCAUCCAAAAGGAACAACUGCUGCUGGGACCUGAUGGAGGGAUGCUAUGGCCCCAGGGCAGAGGGCUGAGACACAGCAAAAGGCACACAAUAUGUAGCGCUGCUCGUUAAACCAGCCAGGAAUUUUGUCAGUAAAGUCAGAGAGCUUCUGCAUGUGACAUAUGAACAAUCAGAUACCCCCACUCCUAAGUCAAGUCUUGAUUAGAUUUUUUUUUUCUUUUUUUUUUUUCCUUGAAUGAAGCUUUCUUACCUCUGCAGUGUCUCAGGCAUGGAGCAGCAGACCUUUCUUCUUUUCUGAUGGUUCCUUUCUCUUCUGUUAUUUUCUUCUUACAGUGUUGGUGGUGCUGUGGGUUUGGGAUCCAGAUCCCAGGAUUCAGAUUUCCUCCUUUCCUCCUUGCUGGGCACAGGCAGGUCACUCUCCACCCCCGGAAGAAGGUGAUGCAGUUAUUUGCCACAGAAAUGCAAAGACUGAAGCAUUAAUGGGAAUGUCUACAUGUGUGAAAGCUCCAGGACAAACAGAAGAGUGAGGGCAAGAAGAAAGGUCUCCAUGCUGGCCAAGGACAUGAUGGAGAGCCAUCAUAUGGAUAAGCGCUGAGGAAAGUGCUGUUUGCUGCAGGGGCCAGAGGCUGGGCUUCAAGAAACUGUUCACUCCUGAAGUUUAUGAAAGUACAAUCAAAAAACUGGUUCAUCAUCACCAGUCCAGAGGACCUAAGAGACUGGACAAGAACUCUAUAACUGGCUUUCCUCAUCAUCCACAUCACCAAAGUCAUCAUGGCAGGAGGGCCUGGCCAUACGCAGCAAUGUCUCUCAUGAGAAGAAAUAAAAUAUCCAGGAGAGAACAAGGAUGAGUGACUCAAACCAGUUGGAUUGACUUUGUUAUCCCUUUUCCUUCUUACACGGUCAUUCACUGAAUUUUUUUAAUAUUAAUUUCCUACAAAAUGGUAUAACUGAUGUCACCAGCUCUCAGAAACAACUGCCUUCCUAGCAAUAGGAUGACCA